rnacentral:rRNA from 1 species
AUUGAACGCUGGCGGCAUGCCUUACACAUGCAAGUCGAACGGCAGCACGGGAGCAAUCCUGGUGGCGAGUGGCGAACGGGUGAGUAAUAUAUCGGAACGUGCCCAGUAGUGGGGGAUAGCCCGGCGAAAGCCGGAUUAAUACCGCAUACGACCUGAGGGUGAAAGCGGGGGAUCGCAAGACCUCGCGCUAUUGGAGCGGCCGAUAUCAGAUUAGCUAGUUGGUGGGGUAAAGGCCUACCAAGGCUACGAUCUGUAGUUGGUCUGAGAGGACGACCAGCCACACUGGGACUGAGACACGGCCCAGACUCCUACGGGAGGCAGCAGUGGGGAAUUUUGGACAAUGGGCGCAAGCCUGAUCCAGCAAUGCCGCGUGCAGGAAGAAGGCCUUCGGGUUGUAAACUGCUUUUGUCAGGGAAGAAAUCUUCUGGGCUAAUACCCCGGGAGGAUGACGGUACCUGAAGAAUAAGCACCGGCUAACUACGUGCCAGCAGCCGCGGUAAUACGUAGGGUGCGAGCGUUAAUCGGAAUUACUGGGCGUAAAGCGUGCGCAGGCGGCUUUG